rnacentral:rRNA from 1 species
UAAUGUGAACUGCAUACUGCUUUGAACAUCGACAUCUUGAACGCAUAUUGCGGCCAUGGGUUAGCCUGUGGCCACGCCUGUCCGAGGGUCGGCU